rnacentral:rRNA from 1 species
AGUGAACGCUGGCGGUAGGCCUAACACAUGCAAGUCGAACGGCAGCACAGUAAGAGCUUGCUCUUACGGGUGGCGAGUGGCGGACGGGUGAGGAAUACAUCGGAAUCUACUUUUUCGGGGGGCUUAACGUAGGGAAACUUACGCUAAUACCGCAUACGACCUACGGGUGAAAGCAGGGGAUCUUCGGACCUUGCGCGAUUGAAUGAGCCGAUGUCGGAUUAGCUAGUUGGCGGGGUAAAGGCCCACCAAGGCGACGAUCCGUAGCUGGUCUGAGAGGAUGAUCAGCCACACUGGAACUGAGACACGGUCCAGACUCCUACGGGAGGCAGCAGUGGGGAAUAUUGGACAAUGGGCGCAAGCCUGAUCCAGCCAUACCGCGUGGGUGAAGAAGGCCUUCGGGUUGUAAAGCCCUUUUGUUGGGAAAGAAAAGCAGCAGGUUAAUACCCCGCUGUUCUGACGGUACCCAAAGAAUAAGCACCGGCUAACUUCGUG